rnacentral:siRNA from 1 species
AUCGUCCGUGAUUAGGUUGGGCA